UUUAUGGAGAGUUUAAUCCUGGCUCAGGAUGAACGCUGGCGGCGUGCCUAAUACAUGCAAGUCGAGCGAACGGAUGAGAAGCUUGCUUCUCUGAUGUUAGCGGCGGACGGGUGAGUAACACGUGGAUAACCUACCUAUAAGACUGGGAUAACUUCGGGAAACCGGAGCUAAUACCGGAUAAUAUUUUGA
rnacentral:rRNA from 1 species